GUUUUCUCCUGUUAAUUUUUUAAUGUCAAGCUUCAAGGAGAUUUGAGGGGUCAGGAAUGCUUGCUCCCCAAUGGUUGGCAUAGUUGGCAGGAUUCUUUAACUCCGUGGAUAUUGCUUGCAACAGUCCACGAAGCAGCUUAGAGAUCCUGGGACAUCUGCUAUAUUGCUGGCAGCAGACAUACUUUCUACAAUCAAAUUCUAAAAUGAAGUCUUUCGACCAGAAGCUAAGUGAAAUUUCCCACCAGGCCCCAGGAACAUUAAAUUUUUUUUUUUUUUGGUGAGCAAUAAAACUAAUUAGGCUUAUUUGGUAUGUGAAAUUACAUGGGAAGCAUUGUCAACAAAGUGAUAUUAAGCCCUGUUAGAUUAUAUUUAUGUGGAUUUCUUAUCUAAAAUUAUGUGAAAUUCCUAGAAAUCUGAUGUCUUGAUAUGUUAUUAACUUUAAGUGUUGUAUGUCACAAAAAUAACCAAAUUUCCUUGUGAGCUGCAUUGUAAUGAACUUUAACCAGAUCCUUCACUGUGCCCAUCUUUAAGUCUUUUAUCAUUUACAGACAGUUUUAUUUUUAUUAUUUUUUCAAAUUUAUUUGUCAGAGAGAGAGUACACAAAGCAGGC
rnacentral:lncRNA from 1 species